rnacentral:rRNA from 1 species
UACGUAGGGUGCAAGCGUUGUCCGGAAUUAUUGGGCGUAAAGAGCUCGUAGGCGGUUUGUCGCGUCUGCUGUGAAAACCCGAGGCUCAACCUCGGGCCUGCAGUGGGUACGGGCAGACUAGAGUUCGGUAGGGGAGACUGGAAUUCCUGGUGUAGCGGUGAAAUGCGUAGAUAUCUGGAGGAACACCGGUGGCGAAAGCGGCUCACUGGACCUGAUCUGACACUGAGGUGCGAAAGCUAGGGUAGCAAACGGG